rnacentral:other from 1 species
UCUUGCCUGGGGUGUGCGUUAUUAGUUACGUCCCUGAGCCGAUAAUUUGAAACUUUGAGUUGAACAUCUAACCGCCGGUGAGCAAGCUUACUUUAAGUAAGAAGCCUAAAGGUGAUUAAGUUUGACUCCCUUGAACCGACUGGUUCAAGGACCAUUACUGGUAGCGGCAUCUCGGGUACUUA